AUGCGCGUGUCCGCUGGAGGAGGGCUUGCUGAGGAAAGGGAAGGAGGAGAAGCCGCCCGAAAGGGCACGGUCUGGGCGUGCGGCUGUCAAGCGCAGGCGCCAGGUGCCCCGGAGGCCCCUCAAGGAGCCCGGUCUCUAAGCGCCGCGCCGCCCCCCGCCCGCGCCCGCGCCCCACCGACUCCCCGUCGUCCCCACCGCCCCGGGGUCCGCGCCCAGCUUUUGACUCGUCCCCCCAGCCCCCGCCACCCGGCCCAGCUGCCCACCACCGCCUGGCUUUUGCCAUCCCAGGGAUGCGGGAAGGCUCUCGGGCCAGGCCCGGAGAGCACGCCCACCCGUCCCCAGCCAGCGCCGCCAGUCCCGCGGCUCGCCUCCCCUCCUCUGCCCAGCGGCCCACCGCCAUUCCCUUGGCAGAGGCGGUGGCUCCGCGGAGCAGCUCGAGGUUCUGUGGGCUUCCUGCAGAGGACCAGGGACCAAGGGAAAGGGGCAGCGCAGACCCGGGUCCGGCUCGGACCCCUUGUCCCGGCUCCAGGGCUUCCACAAACCUUGCAGAUCCCCCCUGGGAUUUGCCCGCCACCCCGAGACCGCUCCCUCAGCCUUCCACGGUCCCAGAGAGGCAUGGCAAGCCACGUCCAAGUGACAUGCCAUGGAAUGAGCGUGUCGCCACCCACCUCCCGCCCUGGAGACACGCGUGUCUGCACCCGCCAAGAUGAGGGCCCUGCUGCCCUCGGGGAGGCCCGAGGCAGGAAGAGUCGAAUGUGCCCCGGGGGCGGGGGCAGGGGCGGAGUCUCACCCUCACCCACAGCUGCCGGCCCUCGCCCCCCACCUCCCCGCCGCCCUUCCCCCAAAGCACCCAAGCAGCUGGCCCAAGGCUCCGGCACCUUCCGCGUCCCGUCAGGGGGCGUAUCCGAGGAAGGCCCAAGGUUCUGCCCUGGCUCCCUGGCCCUGGUCUCCUCCCAUGGGGCCCUUCAAGGCUGGGGACCCUCUGUGGCUGCAGAGCCAACCCUUGCUCCCGAGGGCCACCUGGGAGGCUACAAGGGCACGGCACCCUGGGCCGGCACCUGUGGAGACUCCACGGCCCGGGGCUCAGCCCGGCUCAGUUGGCGGUGGUGGGAGAGAAGGGAAGGCUCAGACCCCCCCCUCCUCUCCGGCCCCCUCUCCGGCCCCCGGGGGGAGACUGGGGGCGGCAUGCCAGGAGAGGAAGAGGACGGGGAAGCCCGGGCUCCGGUUGCCCAAAGCCACCUGUGGGCUCAGGGCUCGCGCGAGAGAGGCUGCUCGGUUGGCCCCAGGGCCUUCCUCUCGCUUCAGCUGGCGGUCCUCUCGCUGAGGAGCUCCAGCCGUCCGUGGGGUCUCCGGAGUCUCCUUGCCGCAGGAGGGCAGAGACCAAGGACCACUCCCUGGCCGCCUUCCGUGUGCCCAGACUGCCCGCCACGCCCAGCCACAGCCCUGGAACCCAGCUCCAUCCACAAGGCAGAGAGCAGAGAGUUGCCUUCUGUCUCUGGGUCUGUCUGGCUGUCUCCCUCCACCUCUCCCUCUCGCUCUCUCUCUCUCUCGGUCUCUCCCUCGACUUCCACGGCUGUCUGUCCAGGUCAGGAGGAGCAGGGGCAUCGAGGCAGGUGGUUGUGA
rnacentral:lncRNA from 1 species